AAUGAACGCUGGCGGCGCGCCUAAUACAUGCAAGUCGAGCGAGAAGACGUAGCAAUACGUUUGUAAAGCGGCGAACGGGUGAGGAAUACAUGGGUAACCUACCCUCGAGUGGGGAAUAACUAGCCGAAAGGUUAGCUAAUACCGCGUACGCUUCUUGGACUUCGGUUCAGGGAGGAAAGCGAUGCCGAGGGUAUCGCGCUCUUGGAUGGGCUCAUGUCCUAUCAGCUUGNGGUGAGGUAACGGCUCACCAAGGCUUCGACGGGUAGCUGGUCUGAGAGGACGAUCAGCCACACUGGCACUGCGACACGGGCCAGACUCCUACGGGAGGCAGCAAGUAAGGAUAUUGCGCAAUGGGCGAAAGCCUGACGC
rnacentral:rRNA from 1 species